GAAAUUACCUGGCGCUGGUACCAGGGCGAUCACGGACGCCUUGGCCCCAGGUGGAGCACGGCUCUUGCACUCUGGCUAGUUGGAGCCUACGACGAUCUCUAAUAGGGCUCGCUCGGGCUCUUAGUUUUUGCCAAUGGGGAGGUAUUCAGACCAUCCCUU
rnacentral:snRNA from 1 species